rnacentral:rRNA from 1 species
GAGUUUGAUCCUGGCUCAGGAUGAACGCUAGCUACAGGCUUAACACAUGCAAGUCGAGGGGCAGCAUUAAAGUUUGCUUGCAAACUUUAGAUGGCGACCGGCGCACGGGUGAGUAACACGUAUCCAACCUGCCGAUAACUCGGGGAUAGCCUUUCGAAAGAAAGAUUAAUACCCGAUGGUAUAGUUUCACCGCAUGAUGAAACUAUUAAAGAAUUUCGGUUAUCGAUGGGGAUGCGUUCCAUUAGGCAGUUGGUGAGGUAACGGCUCACCAAACCUUCGAUGGAUAGGGGUUCUGAGAGGAAGGUCCCCCACAUUGGAACUGAGACACGGUCCAAACUCCUACGGGAGGCAGCAGUGAGGAAUAUUGGUCAAUGGGCG